UGGGGAAUCUUGGACAAUGGGGGCAACCCUGAUCCAGCCAUGCCGCGUGAGUGAUGAAGGCCUUAGGGUCGUAAAGCUCUUUCGCCUGUGAAGAUAAUGACGGUAGCAGGUAAAGAAACCCCGGCUAACUCCGUGCCAGCAGCCGCGGUAAUACGGAGGGGGUUAGCGUUGUUCGGAAUUACUGGGCGUAAAGCGCACGUAGGCGGACCAGAAAGUUGGGGGUGAAAUCCCGGGGGCUCAACCCCGGAACUGCCUCCAAAACUAUUGGUCUAGAGUUCGAGAGAGGUGAGUGGAAUUCCAAGUGUAGAGGUGAAAUUCGUAGAUAUUCGGAGGAACACCAGUGGCGAAGGCGGCUCACUGGCUCGAUACUGACGCUGAGGUGCGAAAGUGUGGGGAGCAAACAGGAUUAGAUACCCUGGUAGUCCACACCGUAAACGAUGAAUGCCAGUCGUCGGAUAGCAUGCUAUUCGGUGACACACCUAACGGAUU
rnacentral:rRNA from 1 species